GAUGAACGCUGGCGGAGUGCCUAAUACAUGCAAGUCGAGCGAAGCGGGGACGGGUGAGCAACACGUGGAUAAACUCCUAUAAGACUGGGAUAACUUCGGGAAACCGGAGCUAAACCGGAUAAUUACAGAUGCACCAGCGCUGCAUUAGCUAUAGGGUAAGGUAACGGCUUGCCAAGGCAACGAUGCAUAGCCGACCUGAUAGGGUGAUCGGCCAAACUGGACCUGCGACCCGGCCCAGACUCCUACGGGAGGCAGCAUGUGGGAAUCUUCCACAACGGGCGAAAGCCUGACGGAGCAACGCCGCGUGAUUGAUGAAGGGUUUCGGAUCGUAAAGCUCUUUUAUUAGUGAAGCGGUACCUAAUCAGAAAGCCACGGCUAACUACGUGCCAGCCGCCGCGGUAAUAC
rnacentral:rRNA from 1 species